rnacentral:misc_RNA from 1 species
UUAAGUUCAGCGGGUAUCCCUACCUGAUCCGAGGUCAAAAUUGGAGUGAGGCUUGCUGGACGCCAGCGUGCCAGGCAGGAGACGCGAAUGUGCUGCGCUCGAAGCCGGUAUGUAGGCCGCCAAUGAUUUCAAGGCGAGUCCGCGCCAGAAGGCGGGGACAAGCGCCCAACACCAAGCAGAGCUUGAGGGUUUAAAUGACG